rnacentral:sRNA from 19 species
GUCAGGGUUCUCUAGUUGAAAAGCAACCCACCGCGUAAUGGCAUGGGUUCUGCGUUUCAAAGCUAGCUGACUCGCCUAAGUCCUUAACUGGACUACGUUCAAGCUUGUGUGUUAAAGUCUCACCUACGAAUGCUUGCCAGUUUGUAGCUCUGAA